rnacentral:rRNA from 1 species
AAAACAUUAUUGAACGCUGGCGGCAGGCCUAACACAUGCAAGUCGAACGGUAGCACAGAGGAGCUUGCUCCUUGGGUGACGAGUGGCGGACGGGUGAGUAAUGUCUGGGAAACUGCCCGAUGGAGGGGGAUAACUACUGGAAACGGUAGCUAAUACCGCAUAACGUCGCAAGACCAAAGAGGGGGACCUUCGGGCCUCUUGCCAUCGGAUGUGCCCAGAUGGGAUUAGCUAGUAGGUGGGGUAACGGCUCACCUAGGCGACGAUCCCUAGCUGGUCUGAGAGGAUGACCAGCCACACUGGAACUGAGACACGGUCCAG